rnacentral:rRNA from 1 species
GACGAACGCUGGCGGCGUGCUUAACACAUGCAAGUCGAACGGAAAGGCCCUGCCUUUGUGGGGUGUUCGAGUGGCGCGCGGGUGUGUAUCACGUGAGUAUCAUGUCCUUGCCUUUGGGAUAACUUCCGGAAAAUGGGGCUAAUAUCGGAUAGGUGCUCCUGCUGCAUGGUGGGGGUUGGAAAGUUUCGGCGGUUGGGUAUGGACUCGCGGCUCAUCCGCUUGUUGGUGGGGUAGUGGCUUACCAAGGCUUUGACGGGUAGGCGGCCGGAGAGGGUGAGCGGCCACAUUGGGUCUGAGAUACGGCCCAGACUGCUACGGGAGGCAGCGGUGGAGAAGAUUGCACAAUGGGCGGAAGCCUGAUGCAGCAACUCCGCGUGCGGGAUGACGGCCUUCGGUUUGUAAACCGCUUUCGCCUGUGACGAAGCGUGAGUGACGGUAAUGGGUAAAGAAGCACCGGCUAACUACGUG